AGCCCAUGGUGAGGGCACUGCUGAAGCAAUCUCCUGAAAUGGUCCCAAGACUCAAACAAAAAUUCCCCAUCCUUUUGCAUAUAUUUUGUAAUCAAGUGUCUCAUGUG